GUUGAUAUAGAUAAUGCAUCUUUUAUCUUGCUAUGUGCAUUCGCUUCUUGCUCUUUUCAUUGUCUGUCUUAUUUUUUUACUAUGCCAAAGGAGGAGGCAUCUUUCCAGUCUAUCAGGUAAUAUAGUAGGAGAUUCAGAUACAAGCCAAGCGGAUUUUCACAUGGAGAGUCAGCUACAAACUAGGGGGUGCUUCAUAAUCAGGAAAGUUAACUGAUGUUUAUGUUGUCAUUAUCUAAAUUGGGG
rnacentral:lncRNA from 1 species